CCUACGGUCGGCAGCAGUGGGGAAUAUUGGACAAUGGGCGAAAGCCUGAUCCAGCCAUGCCGCGUGUGUGAAGAAGGCCUUCGGGUUGUAAAGCACUUUCAGUGGGGAAGAAAGCCUUGGGGCUAAUACCCUCGAGGAAGGACAUCACCCACAGAAGAAGCACCGGCUAACUCCGUGCCAGCAGCCGCGGUAAUACGGAGGGUGCGAGCGUUAAUCGGAAUUACUGGGCGUAAAGCGCGCGUAGGCGGUCUGAUAAGCCGGUUGUGAAAGCCCCGGGCUCAACCUGGGAACGGCAUCCGGAACUGUCAGGCUAGAGUGCAGGAGAGGAAGGUAGAAUUCCCGGUGUAGCGGUGAAAUGCGUAGAGAUCGGGAGGAAUACCAGUGGCGAAGGCGGCCUUCUGGACUGACACUGACGCUGAGGUGCGAAAGCGUGGGUAGCAAACAGGAUUAGAUACCCUGGUAGUC
rnacentral:rRNA from 1 species